rnacentral:RNase_P_RNA from 1 species
AAGGGUGAAACGGUGCGGUAAGAGCGCACCGCCUGGACGGCGACGCCCAGGGCACGGCAAACCCCACCGCGUGCAAGCGCAAGCAGCCCCGGCCUGCGGGCAACCGCAGGCACCCGUGUCCACGGGCCUCGGGGCGGGUCGCGCGCACGAGCGGGCCGGCAACGGUCCGCCCAGAGAAAUGGCUGCACGCGGUCCCGCAAGGGGCCGCCGACAGAAUCCGGCUUAUCGUCCACAGACGCCC